UUUGCUUUUGUGUAUAUUAUAUUUGCCAAAUAAUAUAAUUAAGGUUCAAAAUGAAAUUUACAGAUUCUUUCUGGUCCUUUCAAGUUCUGUUUACUAAUCAUCUAUGCGAAUUGAUUUUUUAUUUAUUUAUUUUUUUUAAUGUCAAAAACCAGGAACAUUUGAUAAAAUGUGUUUUCAAGAGUAUAACGUGGUCAUUUUCUGCAGUACACCUUUGUAACGUCACCUAUAUCAACGAGUUCAAGGUUGUUGCGGCGCUUUCGGUGACAUCAUCGCGCACAGACGUCUGAAAUGGACUUGCAGCUGUUCUUUGACAAACAAUAACAAGAGCGGCGAGCGAACAGCGACGGCUCUCGUAUCUGUAACCGCGGUGAAAUUAAUCGUGCAAGGCAACACCACUCGGACAUUGCCGGGGGGGAAAUUCUAGCCCCCUCCACCGACUUGGAGACCGGCGGAGCUUCGCCGCCCCCGCGGAAGAAAAGCCGAGUUUCGGCGGCGGAGGGAGCAGGAGCGAGCGGUGCGUCUGUUGCCGGGAUCACGGGCCUCUCGGCGGCUUCUCUCCCAACCCCCCACCAGCACUCAUUCAUACGGCUCAAUAACAGCCCACCACCGCUCAGAUCAUAUAAACGCGUUGUACAAACAUGCAGACCAACGGGACCGGAGGACAAGAGCCGGAACUGCAGCUGUCGUGCAGGAACGGAGAGCCUUCGUCCUCCACAGCAGGAGCUUUGCACUCCAACGGACUGCCGUCCUCCGCUAAUAACGGGCUGCCGUCCACCGAGAGCCCGGCAUCGGACACCAGCAUGAAGAAGAAGAAACGACUGUCCCAGAGCGAUGAGGAUGUGAUCAGACUGAUUGGACAGCACCUACACGGGCUAGGACUCGAUCAAACUGUGGACCUGUUGAUGCAGGAGUCAGGCUGUAGACUUGAACAUCCAGCUGCUACCAAGUUCCGGAAUCAUGUGAUGGAGGGAGAGUGGGAAAAGGCUGAGAGUGACCUCAACGAGCUGAAGACACUGAUGCAUUCACCCAGCGCUGUUGUGCGGAUGAAGUUUUUGCUCCUGCAGCAGAAGUAUCUGGAGUAUCUAGAGGAUGGGAAGGUUCUGGAAGCUCUGCAUGUGCUCAGAGCUGAGCUCACCCCACUGAAGUACAACACUGAACGCAUCCACGUGCUCAGCGGGUACCUGAUGUGCAGUCACUCUGAUGAUCUGUGCGCUAAGGCUGAGUGGGAGGGGAAAGGAACGGUCUCGCGAUCCAAACUCCUCGACAAGCUGCAGACGUAUCUGCCCCCGUCUGUGAUGCUGCCGCCCCGUCGUCUUCAGACUCUUUUGCGUCAGGCAGUGGAGCUGCAGAGAGAUCGCUGUCUGUACCACAACACCAAACUGGACAGUGGGCUGGACUCAGUGUCUCUGCUCAUAGACCACGUGUGCAGCAGGAAACAGUUCCCCUGCUACACCCAACAGAUCUUGACAGAGCACUGCAAUGAAGUCUGGUUCUGUAAAUUCUCCAAUGAUGGCACCAAACUGGCCUCUGGAUCCAAAGACACAACAGUCAUUUUAUGGCAGGUCAACCCUGAGACUCACCAGCUCAAGCAGUUGAAGACCCUGGAGGGUCAUGCCUAUGGGGUUUCCUAUUUGGCCUGGAGCCCUGACGACACUUAUUUGAUAGCCUGCGGCCCAGACGACUGCUCUGAGCUCUGGCUCUGGAACGUUCAGACAGGGGAGCUGAGAACUAAAAUGAGUCAGUCUCAUGAGGACAGCCUGACCAGUGUGGCCUGGAACCCAGACGGCAAGCGUUUCGUUACCGGAGGGCAGAGAGGCCAGUUCUACCAGUGUGAUCUGGAUGGAAAUCUUCUGGACUCGUGGGAGGGUGUGCGUGUGCAGUGCCUGUGGUGUUUGAGUGACGGCAGAACAGUCCUCGCCUCUGAUACACACCAGCGGAUCCGUGGAUAUAACUUUGAAGAUCUGACUGACAGGAACAUUGUUCAAGAGGACCACCCCAUAAUGUCCUUCACCGUGUCAAAGAAUGGAAGAUUAGCUCUGUUAAAUGUCGCAACUCAGGGAGUUCAUCUGUGGGACCUUCAGGACCGGGUUUUAGUCAGGAAGUACCAGGGUGUGACUCAGGGCUUCUAUACCAUCCACUCUUGCUUCGGCGGCUAUAACGAAGACUUUAUUGCGAGUGGCAGUGAAGAUCACAAAGUUUACAUCUGGCACAAGCGCAGCGAGCUGCCCAUUGCAGAGCUGACGGGUCACACGCGCACAGUGAACUGCGUGAGCUGGAACCCAGUGCUCUGGGGCAUGAUGGCCAGCGCCUCAGACGAUGGCACUGUACGGGUCUGGGGUCCCGCCCCCUUUCUGGACUCGCAGGAGACCGAAGGGCUAAAUGGGCUGUCCGCAACCAGGAGAUGACAGAGGAGGAUCAAGUAACCAUGAGUUAACUCCCCAGUUUACAUCAGUAAAACGAAUGCUACAGCAGGGACAGUUGAUGUUGACUCUGGAGCAGAUGUCCACUUUGGAAAAUUUACAGUGAGACACACUAUAGACUUUGUGAAUGAAGAAUGAAAACAUGAUGUAGAAAACAACGGCAGAUGGAUGUUCUUUUCUGGCGGUUUCACAUCCCCAACUCACAAUGGAUUGGCAGCGUUCGCCACCAGAGACGUCAAUUCACUUGAAUUAAUAUGAAGCCGGCUGCUGCCCUUCACCACCUGACUUCAAAACCAUGUGGCACCAAACGGUCAUGCCACACCCCUCACUGAGGACAUGCCCAUCUCGGUUUAAGCUCCUCCUCCUUUCUACCCUGCAUCCUGAGUGGACGACUGACUCCUGAAACCACACGCACACAUACAAAAACAAACGUCUUUUAAAACGUUAUUUAUUACGGCUUUAAUUUAUUAUUGUGAACGAAUCAAGGCCUCAGGCUCGCCUUCUGUUCUGUACAAUAAUCAAACACACAAAAAUGUCAUUUUUCUGGCAUGUGUGCACCGAAACUUCUCCGGCCAUAAAAUGGGGUGGCACGGUCUCAAAGACUAUUACAUUAAUGGAGGUGUUCUAUAGAGAACAAAUCAUAUCUUUAUUUUUCAGCAUGAACUCUUGUGCCCUUUUAGCCACCUCUGUGACAACGUAUGCUUGAAAGUGUCUUCACCAGCAGAUAGAGAUAUAUAUAUAUAUAUAUAUAUAUAUAUAUAUAUAUAUAUAUAUAUAUAUACAGUAUUUUGUUUUCCUCCAUGACUUAACGUCAAUUUUAAAUGACUGAAUUUACAGGCAUUUUUUAACAGCUUGAUAUCAUCUUUUGUUUAGAGAAUUCCAAUCAAGACCCCAAAUCAUAAUUUUGUCCCUCUGUUCAUGAUUACAGUACUUUAUUUUAUUCUAUAAUGUGGUCAUUUUGAGAAGGGGAAUGUUUGCAAGAGUUGAUGGAUUAUUCAUAAUUUCUUAUUCGAAUACUUAAGAUGAGCCGACUCAGAUUCACCAGGAAAGAUACAUAACAGGACACAGUUAUGUUUUGUUAACAGGGUUGAAAAUUAACCCUCAACAGAUAAACCGAUACAUAUUUUAGACUGUGAGGCUUGCUUAGACUUGCAGCAGCAUGCUAAAUGUCCUGAUAACAACAAACUAAUGUCAUGUAAAUAUUGACCUUCAGCGUACAUACUUUGCCUUCGUAAAUGGCGAAUAGGUGUUUGUAUCAUAGUUGAAGUCAUUUUUGAAGUAAAUUUAUAGGCUUUUGGUCUGAGGCCUCAUCUACACCACUCCAUUUUCAUUUGAAAUCUCAGUUUUCAGUUUUCUAACGUCAUUGUUUUCCAAUGUGUGGGAAUGGUGAAUGUUUUUGAAACGCUCUUUUUUUUUUUUUUUGGUGGAGGAAAUCACUGUUCUAGUGAGGAUGAGAGAUGUAAAUGUUUUCAAUUGAAAAUAUGCCUAAUACUUUUUAGUUUGAAAACACAUUGAUUUCACUAUGUUUCUGCCUCUCAUCCACUCUAGAAUGGUACUUUCCUUUACUGAAAAACAUUCUCCAUAAAAAAAUUUUUUUUUUUAAAAACACAUUUGAGAACGAUUUAAAAAAAAAGGUGGAGGAAAGUGCUGUUCUAGUGUGGUUGAGAGGCACAAAAGUAGCGAAAUCGGUGCAUUUUCAAAUGAAAAUACAGCUAAUUCAUUUUCGGUUUUGCUGCGUUUAUAUUCUCAUCCACUCUAGAACGGCGCUUUCCUCCAUCGAAAACAGUGUUUCGAAAAUGUUGUCCAUUCCCACAUAAGCGUAGCAAAGUCAGCGCGUUUUCAAAAGAAAAUACAGCUAAUUCAUUUUCGGUUUUGCUGCAUUUACACCUCUCAUCCACUCUAGAAUGGUUCUUUCCUCCAUCGAAAACAGCAUUUCGAAAAUGUUCUCCAUUCCCACAUAAACAUAGCAAAAUCAGUGUGUAUUCAAAAGAAAAUAUGCCAAAUUCAUUUUCGUUUUGCUACGUUUACACCUCUCAUCCACUCUAGAAUGGUUCUUUCCUUUAUUGAAAACAGUGUUUCGAAAAUGUCCAUUCCCACGUAAACAUAGCAAAAUCAGUGCGUUUUCAAAAGAAAAUACGGCAAAUUAAUUUUUGUUUUGCUGCGUUUACACCUCUCAUCCACUCUAGAACGGCGCUUUCCUCCAUCGAAAACAGUGUUUCGAAAAAGUUAUCCAUUCCCACGUAAACAUAGCAAAGUCAGUGCAUUUUCAAAAGAAAAUAUGGCAAAUUCAUUUUCGUUUUGCUACGUUUACACCUCUCAUCCACUCUAGAAUGGUUCUUUCCUCCAUCGAAAACAGCAUUUCGAAAAUGUUCUCCAUUCCCCCAUAAGUGCGUUUUUAAAAGAAAAUACAGCUAAUUAAUUUUCGUUUAAAAACGCAUUGUUUACACCUUUCAUCCACACUAGAACGGCGCUUUCCUCCACCGAAAGAGGAGCAUUUUGAAAACGUUCUCCAUUCCCCCAUAGUUUGGAAAACUAUGACAUUAGUAAACUGAUUUGUGUGAACAUGGCUUGAGGGACGCUGGGGACAUAAGAACUAAAAUAUAUUGUUAUGGUUAAGUACACCAACACAUUGAAUGGACCCCCAAAUGUGAUUCUUGUGUACAUGUGUGGUCUGUGUUCCAUUAUAUUCGUUUCCCUCUCAUUCCAUAUUGUCCCCUUUCGGUGGUCUCAUUUUUGGAUUUCUUUGGAUGUUUUUUUUUUUUUUUAUCCUUUUCAGACAUAUAUGACUUUAUCACCUAUGAUUUCCUGUUUUAUUUGGGGUUGAUUUAUAAUUUUUCCACUUAUAUUAUCAUAUAGCGGAUGUCUUGGCAAGUGGCCUCUAAACUGCUUUUUUCUAUUUGUAAAUUUCUUAUACUUUCGUACCAUAUUACGCAUUAGUACAUGCAGGUGUACCCUAUAAUGAUUUAAUUAUUCAGAGCGAAAGAAACUUUGCCUACUAUGAUUUCUUCUGUAAUUAAGUGUUCAUCAUUUAUAUAUGAAGAAUCUAUAGAUAUAGAUAUAUAGAUAUAUAUAUACAUAUGUUUGUGCAUUUCUUGCCAUGCAUCCUCCCUUACAAAUGUUAACCGUUUCUCACCUGCAUCAGGUAAACUCCUCUGUACAGGUUAUUCGUACUCAGACCAGCAAAACCUGUUUUGUUUCUGAGGAGUGACACACACAAACGAAAAAAAAAAAAAAAAAAAACGGGUGCAUGCAGAAAACACGCCCUCACACAUGCGCUUCAACCAUGAAGAUAUCACGGAAUUGUGGUGUUGUGUUUCUGGUUUAUGCAACCUAACUUUCCUUUUCUUCUGAAUAUUUGUGUUUCAUUUGAGGUCUUGGAUUGACUUUCUUGUGCUAUGAGGGGUAACGGUAGCACCCUGGGCAGUCGAGUUCUGACAGAUCUGUUUUGCAUUUCAGUGUGUUAUUAUUCUUAGUGAUUGUACUAGUAUGUAAUGUCAUGUAGGAGAGGUGUUAUGUAUACAUAUUUUCAAUAAAGCAUUCAGGGUUUUAAACUAU